rnacentral:rRNA from 1 species
UACGGGGGGGGCAAGCGUUGUUCGGAAUUACUGGGCGUAAAGGGCUCGUAGGCGGCCAACUCAGUCGGAUGUGAAAUCCCCAGGCUUAACCUGGAAACUGCAUCCGAUACUGGAUGGCUUGAAUCCGGGAGAGGGAUGCAGAGUUCCAGGUGUAGCGGUGAAAUGCGUAGAUAUCUGGAGGAAUACCGGUGGCGAAGGCGGCAUCCUGGACCGGCAUUGACGCUGAAAAGCGAAAGCCAGGGGAGCAAACGGG